rnacentral:rRNA from 1 species
AUUGAACGCUGGCGGCAUGCCUUACACAUGCAAGUCGAACGGUAACAGGUCUUCGGAUGCUGACGAGUGGCGAACGGGUGAGUAAUACAUCGGAACGUGCCUAGUAGUGGGGGAUAACUACUCGAAAGAGUGGCUAAUACCGCAUGAGAUCUACGGAUGAAAGCAGGGGAUCGCAAGACCUUGUGCUACUAGAGCGGCCGAUGGCAGAUUAGGUAGUUGGUGGGAUAAAAGCUUACCAAGCCGACGAUCUGUAGCUGGUCUGAGAGGACGAUCAGCCACACUGGGACUGAGAAACGGCCCAGACUCCUACGGGAGGCAGCAGUGGGGAAUUUUGGACAAUGGGCGAAAGCCUGAUCCAGCAAUGCCGCGUGCAGGAUGAAGGCCUUCGGGUUGUAAACUGCUUUUGUACGGAACGAAAAGCCCCGGGUUAAUACCCUGGGGCCAUGACGGUACCGUAAGAAUAAGCACCGGCUAACUACGUGCCAGCAGCCGCCGUAA